UACGUAGGGUGCAAGCGUUAAUCGGAAUUACUGGGCGUAAAGCGUGCGCAGGCGGUUGUGCAAGACAGAUGUGAAAUCCCCGGGCUCAACCUGGGAACUGCAUUUGUGACUGCACGGCUGGAGUGCGGCAGAGGGGGAUGGAAUUCCGCGUGUAGCAGUGAAAUGCGUAGAGAUGCGGAGGAACACCGAUGGCGAAGGCAGCCCCCUGGGCUAGCACUGACGCUCAGGCACGAAAGCGUGGGGAGCAAACAGG
rnacentral:rRNA from 1 species